GACGUAGGAUGCGAGCGUUGUCCGGAUUUAUUGGGCGUAAAGAGUUCGUAGGUGGUUCGUUAAGUCUGGUGUGAAAGACUGGGGCUCAACCCUGGGAUCGCACUGGAUACUGGCGGACUGGAGUGUGGUAGAGGCAAGCGGAAUUCCCAGUGUAGCGGUGAAAUGCGCAGAUAUCAGGAGGAACACCAAUGGCGAAGGCAGCACUCUGGGACGUGACUGACGCUGAGACGCGAAAGCGUGGGGAGCAAACAGG
rnacentral:rRNA from 1 species